UCUAGUUGGAAAUAACUUCAAUGACUGAUAUUUAAUAUAUCUGAUUCAUGGGAGUAUUUUUCACAGUAAAAGUCACUGUUAUUACAUUUACAUAGAAAAACUCACUGUUGCUCAAUUGCUAGUAAUUAGUUGUAAAGCUGCAAUGAGAGUAACGUAAGUAACUGUGCAUUAAUGACCUAUCGCAUGCAUGACAUAACAAAAUAAAAUUGUAUAAAGGGUAAAUCACUGUACAAAAGAAUAGCAAUAGGAAAAGGCCAACC
rnacentral:lncRNA from 1 species